AUCAGAAGUACUGUUUGUUCUCUUUCAUGUUCAGUGGUGUUAAAAACCUAUAAAAACAUGCAAGAUGGUGCAGAAACCAUUAGGAAACCAAGGGAAGACACAGAAGAAGAGAGCACACAGGACGAUGCUGAAGCCUUAACACUGCAAGAAGCAGCUGACCUUUGCAGGAUGCUCUGUUUGAGUGUGGCUUUCCUCCAAAUCUUGCCCCUUUCUCAACGAGCCAAGAGCAGAAUCAUCCACUGUCAUUGGGAAAAGAAAGUUUCACCAUUCUUAAGAAUGGUAGGCAAUAUUUUGUGGCAGUUCAUGAUAAUUCAAAUGAUAGUUAUAUCAGUUCUUAAUUUCCAUUUCUUUUGUUUUAAGUGGGAAAUCUUUUCAAGUGUAAUAAACAGCUUGCAGUUUUUUUCUUUGAGAAUUAUUUGUUCAUAAGCUGUUAUUUGUCUAAAUAAUUUGAAUUAUACCCCUUCUUGAAAUGACUUUGAGUCUUCAAAUACUUAAUUAAAUGUAGUUUUAUGAUGUUUAGUGUUCAAUCUAAAUUAAAUGAUUUUUCUUCAUGCUGGUAUUAA